rfam:Populus trichocarpa scaffold_16_contig_80, whole genome shotgun sequence.
UCUAGAACUCGAGAUAUGGGUUGAACACUGAACAAUGUCUUGGCUGCAGGACAAAUUCUGACUUCUCUGUUGUUGCUACAAUUUGAACUUGAAAACGGUCCUUUGGAAUCUUGGACUUGAUUAGUACUUAAAAGUGCAUUUUUAUCAAGGUUUUAUAUC